GAUGAACGCUGGCGGCGUGCCUAAUACAUGCAAGUCGAGCGAACAGACGAGGAGCUUGCUCCUCUGACGUUAGCGGCGGACGGGUGAGUAACACGUGGAUAACCUACCUAUAAGACUGGGAUAACUUCGGGAAACCGGAGCUAAUACCGGAUAAUAUAUUGAACCGCAUGGUUCAAUAGUUAAAGACGGUUUUGCUGUCACUUAUAGAUGGAUCCGCGCCGCAUUAGCUAGUUGGUAAGGUAACGGCUUACCAAGGCAACGAUGCGUAGCCGACCUGAGAGGGUGAUCAGCCACACUGGAACUGAGACACGGUCCAGACUCCUACGGGAGGCAGCAGUAGGGAAUAUUCCGCAAUGGGCGAAAGCCUGACGGAGCAACGCCGCGUGAGUGAUGAAGGUCUUCGGAUCGUAAAACUCUGUUAUUAGGGAAGAACAAAUGUGUAAGUAACUAUGCACGUCUUGACGGUACCUAAUCAGAAAGCCACGGCUAACUACGUG
rnacentral:rRNA from 1 species